AUGACAAGCCCCUCGCCGCCCCCCUCUCCUCGCAGUCGCCCUCCGUGCCUGUCGGAGAGUCUCUCACUGGACUGCCCCCGCCCCUCCGCCUGCGGCCGCGUCUGCGCCUGCGCAGGACUCGCUCCUAAUAAGGCCGGGGGCCCGCCCCUACCGCCCUACCGGAGGGUUCGCAUUCUCCCGCCUUCCCUCCGCCGCCCGGGCGAUUGGUCUGUCCGCUCUCGGCCGCGGGGGGAGGGUGCGGAGGACGGCCAAACGGCAGGCUGCGCCCCGCCCCCUCUUAAAGGGGCAGCGCUGUCAAGCCCGCCUCUUCGCUCAAUGUCCGAAUGGGACUGGGGAGGGAAGGCGGCUGGCUCCUUCUUCCGUCGUUCCCACGGGGAAGGGGACUCUCGGUGCGAGUCCCUCGGCCCGCUGUUACCGACAUUUUCCUUCUGGGGGUGGGUGGGGAGCGCCCUGGCGCGGCGCGGCAAGUCGCGGGGCUUUAAAAGAGCAGCAGGCGGCCGGCCGCUUCUCGCUACGAGCUGGAGGAAGGCCGGCGGGAACUACGCUACCCAGCGUGCAGCGGGCGCGGCUCCCGGCAUGCUCGGCGGCCGUGUUCCCGCCAGGCCGCCGCCUCGACGCGGCCCGCGGGCCGGGCGUCCUCCUCCUCCUCCUCCUCCUCCUCCGGCGACGGCGGCGGCCUUCGGGCUCAGGGACGCCGGGGCGGGGGCAGAGGGCGAGGGCUGUUUCCGCGCAGCGUUCGACGCGGCGGCCCAGCGGCGGGGCCGAGGUCGCUGCCACAGGGACUCUCAGGACGGGAUGACGUGGGAUUCGGGGAGACGAAGCGGCCCUAAAGAGGACGAACACGCGGAGAAUUUCAGCGGCAGGCUUGCGAGAGCAGGUGCCUUCGAGUCAGACGGGAAACGUCAGGGGGCUGUCCCCCCGGGCCCCCCCCCCCCCCCCCCCCCACGGGNCCGCCCCGCCCCGCGGUGUCCGUCCGUCCGCAGGGGCGGCGCACCUGUACGGGGACCUCUGCAGAGCACUUUGAAAACCAAUGUUUGUACGAGUGCCCAUCGACGUGCAAAGAGAAGUGCAGGCUCUGACCUGCAGGAAAUUUUGCAUUUCAAGGCAAAACAGCAAAACAGCCCUCCAGAAAACUCGGCCGCUUGGGAACGACAAAAUCCUGCAGGGGGCUGGGAGACGGCCUGGCGUUCUCCUGUGGCCCUCUUGUGGUCCUCGACUACUCGAAUAUUACAUUAA
rnacentral:lncRNA from 1 species